CUGGGAACUCCCUGAACCCCAGGGAACCCCAUGUUCCCUGACAGGUCCCCAUCACCAUGCCAGGACCCCCAUAGCCCAUCUUUGGCCUCUCCUCCCCCUGACCUGCCUCCAGAUCCCGUACAACCUCCCGGUGCUGUGGCAUGGAUGGCUUCUGCAGCUGACUUGGAUUUCUUCUGCCACUGUCCCGUGAAGGAGUUGAUUUGCUUCAGUCCAUCCCUGCUCCGUUCCUGGUUCAAGCCAAGCUCCAGUCCCUUCCCCGGUCUAAGU
ensembl:lncRNA